rnacentral:rRNA from 1 species
GACGAACGCUGGCGGCGUGCCUAAUACAUGCAAGUAGAACGCUGACUACUUUAGCUUGCUAGAGUAGAAGGAGUUGCGAACGGGUGAGUAACGCGUAGGUAACCUGCCUACUAGCGGGGGAUAACUAUUGGAAACGAUAGCUAAUACCGCAUAACAGUGUUUAACACAUGUUAGAUGCUUGAAAGAUGCAAUUGCAUCACUAGUAGAUGGACCUGCGUUGUAUUAGCUAGUUGGUGAGGUAACGGCUCACCAAGGCGACGAUACAUAGCCGACCUGAGAGGGUGAUCGGCCACACUGGGACUGAGACACGGCCCAG